rnacentral:rRNA from 1 species
GAAUUUUAUAUAAAUUUAAGAGUAAGGAUUAGGAGUAAGAUUUUUUAGAUUUAUAUUUUGUUGGGAGGAUAGUUAAAUUAAUAAAACUUUAAUAAUAGUAAAAGUCAUUGAUUUAUGAUAAAUAAUGGAUGGUUAAUAAAUUUAUUUAGAAUUAAUUACCUUAGGGAUAACAGCAUAAUAUCUUUGGAGAGAUCUUAUCAAUAAAGAUGAUUGU